rnacentral:rRNA from 1 species
CCUACGGGGGGCAGCAGUGGGGAAUAUUGGACAAUGGGGGGAACCCUGAUCCAGCGACGCCGCGUGAGUGAAGAAGGAUUUCGGUAUGUAAAGCUCUAUCAGCAGGGAAGAAAGAAAUGACGGUACCUGACUAAGCAGCCCCGGCUAACUACGUGCCAGCAGCCGCGGUAAUACGUAGGGGGCAAGCGUUAUCCGGAUUUACUGGGUGUAAAGGGAGCGUAGACGGUGAUGCAAGUCUGAAGUGAAAGGCGGGGGCCCAACCCCCGGACUGCUUUGGAAACUGUAUGGCUGGAGUGCAGGAGAGGUAAGUAGAAUUCCUAGUGUAGCGGUGAAAUGCGUAGAGAUUAGGAGGAAUACCAGUGGCGAAGGCGGCUUACUGGACUGUAACUGACGUUGAGGCUCGAAAGCGUGGGGAGCAAACAGGAUUAGAUACCCGAGUAGUC